AUCUGAUCCCGAGAGAAUGCUGGGCUUCUUAGACAUUUCUGUUUGGAAAUUUGUCUUUUUUUUGGCACAAAAUGGACUACUGGACAAAGAACUGCCCAUAUCUUGACUGCUGAAAGUAUGAAUGCUGUCCUUUCUGGACGAGCAGGAUGCAAGGAAAAGUGACUACUGAACUUUGCCAAGACGGGGAAGAAAUUUGUUGUCCUCCGCUUAAACCCCAGCUACCCAAAUCUGCUAGUUACAUUAGAACCUUGUUCCCAAAUGAUACCUCCUGUGAUGGUUAAAGUUGGUUGUCACUUGGAGCAUUCUGAGACACACUCGAAGAGUUGAGAUCUGCUUCUGCAUGUGUCUGUGAAGGAAUUUCCAGAGAAAAUCGGGACGUGGCUCAGGAAGGAGUGAGGUGAUUCUGUCCUGUGGGCAGUAUACGUGGAUGGAGCUAGCAGAUAUGGAAAGAAUGGAAAAGCUCUCUCAGGAACACAAGUUCUGGUCCCCUGUAUCGGGGUCCGGGUCUGCUGCUCCAUCACCCAUAGACACCUGACAUGAGUGUCUAGCAUGGUCUCGGACUCCUGAUCCCAUCCCCAGCUUUCAGGCAUCAUCAUCUGUUGAGGCUGAGUCUCCAGCCCCAUUUCUUCUGAGGUUUCUUUCCUGCUUCUUGAACUGAGCUGUAGUGCUUUCCCCUAGAUCUCCAGCCUACAGCUGGCCCUGUAGGACUCCUCAGCCUCUGGGAGUAUAGGCCAGUCUCAUCAAGAUGCUGGUUUGGGUGGAUCUAGGAGGAAUUGGGGGCGGGGAAGACAUUGUAUUAAAUAAAAAAAUGUUACAAAGAGA